CCGACAGCCCCUGCGCCUGCGCAGAAAGGAGCUCUGCACUCCACACCCUCUGAAGGAAACGCCUCGGUCUUAGGACGCAUGCGUGUUGUGAAUCCUAAACGCCCCUUCCACCUCAGACGUCGUCUGUACGCCGGGCGUUGAAAAGACCACGCCGCCACAGUAUCGCUGGUCUUGCCUAGGACGCAUGCGCCUGGGGAAACGCCCCACCUCGCUUUAACUGGACCUAGGCGGCUCACACGUUUCUGAAAACUCGCACCGUGGGGUGGGCCCCUUGUCUGGGAAUGCUUCCCUCCAGUUCCACACAUGCGCGAGCGCUCCCUUUCCGCUCCGCUCUUCCUAGCGCACUAGUGUGGUCGGGUGUCCGCCCACCUCGGCUUCGCCGCUCUCCACUCUGCGUCUCUGCCCCGCCAUAGAGUUCCGCCAGGCGAGAUAGAGCGGCCCCGUGCCGGCCACCAUCUUGUUUAAGGUCUGGGCCCGUAGUGGUCCUGUGGCUUCCAUAGGGGCCCUUCUACUCUUGAAUCCUCACUGGAAAGAUUUAUAUUUUUGUGUGUUUUCCCCAGCUGUGCUCGGCAGUUGCCAAGAUAAUUGUGUGCAAGCUCCUUAGGAGACAAUUCUGUAUAAAGAGUGGUUUGUUAAAUUACCCCGACAUUCUCCAAACCGUGGGUGACCGUGGAGCCACAAGCAAGCUGUCUCUCCCCUGUUCCUGGCCUUAGGGAAGAAGCCCCUGCUGCGCCUGAGACUUCAUAGUCCUCUGCCUGCAGGUCCUAAGUCUCCAGCACCUCCUUCGUGACCACCUUGCAGGAAGCGAGGACCAAGAAAGACUCCUGUGGCAGGUCCACUGCCGAACAAGAGCCGGAGUCCGCGUUUGUGCAGUGCGUCUCGCUGGCAGAGCCUGCGCCUUCCCUUCCUCUUCUGAGUGUCUCGCCCUUUCCUUGGUUAACAGCAGCACAGCUUUCACCAAAAAAAUUAAUAAGCCCCACAACUUCUUGGCGUUGUCCAGUUCCUGUUCUCAAAGAUGUUCCCAUGACCCAGGAAUUCUACCCCUAGGUAUUCACAGAUACCAAUAAAAACAGGUACCCAACCA